CUUUGCAAGUGUGGAUGCCCAGAUGAGGGAUGCCUCAAGGUCACGCAGGACGUGAGGCCGCUGAGGACCGCACAGGGGAGCGGGCGGCGGCAUCGCGAGGACUGACCACUGGGUGGCACUGUUGCUCCAUGGAGAGCUGCCAACGGCGUCCCCGGGGACCCGGCCACGUUGAGCACAAAAGGGUGACCUUGUGGAGGUCACCGCCAGAGGAGUUUCCGGAAGCCCAGCGGAAAGCAUUGCAGAGGAGCCUGGCAACCAUGUCCCAAGUUGGAAGGAAGCUCUGAGAACCCUGCUCCCCAGAAAUCCUGAGCAAAGGCUGGCUGGCCUACAGGAGCAGUCUAGAGUAAGAGCUGUUUCCUGGCAGAGGAUCAAGUAUCCAGGUCACAUUGAAGAGACAUGUGAGGACUCCAAUGGAGAACAAUUUGAGAGUGAGAAACCAGUUCUGGAGGCCAGGAAGUUCAAGAUCAAGGUGUUGGCAAGUUCAGUGUCUGCUGAGGACCUGAUCUCUCUUCUUUCAAGAUGGCAUCUUGUUGCUCUUCCCUCCAGAGAGUAGAAAUGCUGGAACCUCACAUGGAGGAAAAAAUGAAAAGGACCAAUGCUAGUUCCCUUCAGCCUUUUUAUGAACUCACUAAUUCCCAUUGAGGGCUCCACAUACAUGACUUAAUCACCUCCUAAAUGCCUGACUUCCUAAUACUCUCAUUUUGAAGAUUAAGUUUCAACAUAUGAAUUUGGGGGUCAUAUUCAGAACAUAGCACUUAUGAUACUAUCUCAAAUCAUAGACUGCUUUCUCGGUGGGCAUCUAUCUCAGUUUCUUUUCUGUUGUUAUUACAGAGUACCUGAGCCUGAGUAAUUUAUAAAGAAAAUACAUUUAUUUUGGCUCAUGGCUCUAUAGGCUGGGAAGUCCAAGAUUGGGCGGUUACAUCUGGUUGGCUCCUGGUGCGGGCCUCCUGCCGCAUCAUAACAAGGUAGAGAAGUGAAAGGGAAGGUGGGCUUGUAGGAAGGGGGCAAAGCAUGAAGGGCAGGCUUGCUUUAUAGAAACUGGGACACAGCACCCCACAGGAUGAGUGUAUAAAGGCUAGACAGACAAGGGGAUUGUUGUGUUGAACCUGAAAAGUCCCCUCACCUGGCAAUGCUCUCUGUUCCCUGUGAGAAGAAGGGGUUUCUUUUCUUCUGGGAUGAUUCAUCCCUUCACCUGUGGCCUUCCCUAGAGCCCAUCCUUGUGCCAUUCUGCUCUCCAGGCACAUCUCUCUCAGAUGAAUUCCCUCUUCCCUCUUCCUCUGGCCCCUCCUGUUUAUUUAUCUGUUUCCUCACCACUGUGUAAUCAGGUAGGCCCCACUGCUGUGACCUCUGGAAUAAUGAUUGAAUCUGCCCUAUCCUCUCCACAGUGAUGCCUGGGACCCAGCUGAGAUCUCCAUCAUCUCUCAAAACAACUGUGCACUGACCUCCUGACCUAAGCCCAGCCUCUGCCCACUCAGACUGACCUUCACGCAGCUGCACAAUGCUGCAUUUGGAAGCCGGACCUGACCACAUUCGUUUCCCUCUGUUGAGAUUCAUGUUCUGGAGAAAUGAAAAUGCUGUCUCAGUGGAAUGUUGAUUAGCUGGAGUGGAGACCCAAGAUCUCUGUCCAGGCAGGGCCAUCAACUAGAGGUGGCCCUGUGAUUGAUGAGUGACCAGCCAUGUGUGGAGAAAAGCAAUGUGAACAACUUCUGACUUCGCUGUUAAAGAAAAUUGGUCUGUCCCCCAUUUCCUUGCAUUCCCAUUCUUACUGGCUGAAAUUCAAAGCUGAUAAAUGGAGCUAGAGCAGAUAGCUGGGAAAAUGAGUUGAGGGUCUUACAUUAAGACUUGCCAGCAAGAAGAAGAAUUUUUCCAGGGUUCCUGACACCGCCAAAUUGUUCGAUCAGCUCUGAACUCUAUACUGAGAUUCUUUAAGUAUGAGAGACAUGAACUUUGACUGGCUUAAGUGAGCUAUUGAGGUCUCUUUGCUAUUGUGACCUAACUCAGGGGUCAGCAAAUAACACUCUGUGCGCAAAAUCUGACUACGAUCUGUUUUUGUAACUAAAUAAAAUUUCACUGAAACACACCCAUGCUCAUUUAUUUAGGUAUGGCUGCUUUCAUGAUACCAUGGCACAUUUGACUACCUAUAGACAGUGAUAUGAUGUGGAUCUGUGUCCCCACCCAAAUCUCAUGUUGAAAUGUAAUCCCCCUGUGCUGGAGGUGGGAUCUGGUGGGAGGUGAAAUGGGGGCGGUUUCUCAAGAAUGGUUUAGCUCCAUUUCUCUGCUGCUGUAUUCAUGAUAGUAAGUGAGUGAGUUGUCACAAGAUCUGAUUGUGUAAAAGUGUGUGGCACCUCCCCCUUCUCUCUUGCUCCUUCUCGGCCAUGUAAGACCUGCCUGCUUCCCCUUCACCUUCCACCAUGAUUGUAAAUUUCAU
rnacentral:lncRNA from 10 species